UACGUAGGGAGCGAGCGUUGUCCGGAUUCAUUGGGCGUAAAGAGCUCGUAGGCGGCUUGAUAAGUCGGAUGUGAAACCUCCAGGCUCAACCUGGAGUCGCCAUCCGAUACUGUCAUGGCUAGAGUCCGGUAGGGGCCCACGGAAUUCCUGGUGUAGCGGUGAAAUGCGUUGAUAUGUGUCGGAACACCAAUGGCGAAAGCAAUCUUCUGGACGCAAACUGACGCUGAGAUACGAAAGCCAAGGUAGCAAACAGG
rnacentral:rRNA from 1 species